rnacentral:lncRNA from 1 species
UGAUAAUUGCUUUUGGCCUGAUUUAACAGGUUUUUAAAUAAAAUUAUUGAAUUUGUAAUUUUAACUACAUAAUAGAUCUAAGAUUUCAUUUUGUAAUCUAGACAUUAUAAAAUGCAUGAUUGAUAUUGAUUUUGAUAUUGAAUAGGGGCUGAGAUUAUAAGGAAUUUUAGUUAAAAGACUAAAUUUCUAGAAAGCAUUUGUAUUAGUCCAUUUUCAUGCUGCUAAUAGACAUACUCAAGACUGGGUAAUUUAUGAAGAAAAAGAGGUUUAAUGAACUCACAGUUCCACGUGGCUGGGGAAGCCUCACAAUCAUGGCGGAAGGUGAAGGAGGAGCAAAGUCAUAUCUUACAUGGCGGCAGGCAAGAGAGAAUGAGAGCCAAAUGAAAGGGGAAACCCCUUAUAAAACUAUCGGAUCUUAUGAGACUUUAUUCACUACUGUGAGAACAGUAUGGGGGAAACUGCC